UACAGAGGUCUCACGCGUUGUUCGGAUUCAUUGGGCGUAAAGGGUGCGUAGGCGGCGCGGUAAGUCGGGUGUGAAAUCUCGGAGCUUAACUCCGAAACUGCAUUCGAUACUGCCGUGCUUGAGGACUGGAGAGGAGACUGGAAUUUACGGUGUAGCGGUGAAAUGCGUAGAUAUCGUAAGGAAGACCAGUGGCGAAGGCGGGUCUCUGGACAGUUCCUGACGCUGAGGCACGAAGGCCAGGGGAGCAAACGGG
rnacentral:rRNA from 1 species